rnacentral:hammerhead_ribozyme from 1 species
AAGCUGACGAGUCUCAAAUAGGACGAAACGCGCGUCCUGAAU